rnacentral:rRNA from 1 species
CGGGCGGACGGGUGAGUAAUGCCUAGGAAUCUGCCUGGUAGUGGGGGACAACGUUUCGAAAGGAACGCUAAUACCGCAUACGUCCUACGGGAGAAAGCAGGGGACCUUCGGGCCUUGCGCUAUCAGAUGAGCCUAGGUCGGAUUAGCUAGUUGGUGAGGUAAUGGCUCACCAAGGCGACGAUCCGUAACUGGUCUGAGAGGAUGAUCAGUCACACUGGAACUGAGACACGGUCCAGACUCCUACGGGAGGCAGCAGCG